rnacentral:lncRNA from 10 species
AAGAUUAGCAAAGGGGUAUGUAUUAGUCUGCUUGGGCUGCCACAAUAAAAUGCCACAGACUAGGUGAAUUAAACAACAGAAAUUUAUUCCUUACAGUGGAGGGUGUGAAGUCCAAGAUCAAGGUACUGGCAAGGUAGGUUUCAUUCUAAGGCCUCUUCUCUUGGCCUUGUAGGCAGCUGCCAUCUUGCACAAAUCUCUUGGUAUCUCUUCUUCUUAUAAGGGCACUAAUCUCACGGGACCAGGGUCCUGCCCUCAUGACCUCACCUAACCCUAACACCCUCCCAAAGGUCCCAUCUCCAAGUACUGUCAUAUUGAUGGGGGGUUAGGCCUUCAACAUAUGAAUUUGGGGGGGAAACAUUCAGUCCAUAACAGAGUGUGGCAAUAGACUGAUGCCCAUGGAAUUUAUUGGUUUUGUCAUGUACUUCAUCACCCAGAAGCAUCUGCUUUGUUAGAAUGAUAGAAUGAUUUACUUAAGACUCAGUUACUUGCAAC